AAUUCAUAGAUCGGCAUCAAUCUACAAUUGUUUAUUGAACUAAAUUAAUCUCAAGCAAAAUGAAGUUGUUUUAUUUGUUGGUUAUUUGUGCUUUGUGUAUGGCGGCCAUGGUAAAGGCUCAAAAAAGCCUUUAAAGUUGACUUUGCCUAAAGAAGAACCGAAAAAUUUGCCUCAACUUAGUGGCGGCGGUGGUGGUUCUCGCAAACAGGGAUUUGAUGUAAGCUUGGAUGCCCGCCAAAAGGUUUGGGAGAGUCAAAAUAAACGUCAUUCAGUUGAUGUCAACGCUGGUUAUGGUCAACAUUUGGGUGGUCCUUAUGGCAACAGUCGUCCCGAUUAUCGUGGCGGCGUUGGUUACACUUAUAGAUUUGGUAAAUCUGGUUAAUUAUUGUACAAUUCAUGAUAAUAAUAAAAAAAGUAUUAAAACUUCAUGACUAUUAAAAA